GCAGAAAAGCCCUACAGUUUUAUUUAUCAUAAGCCGGGAAACUAGUUUCCUCCAAAACCCUAAUCUUCUUCUGAGAGACUCUUAACAUUGUGGGAUUUCUGAGAGACUUUGAGGUUAAUUAUGGAGAGGGGGCAUGUUUUUUCCGACUACGACAUGGAAUACUACGUGAACCGACUCAAGCAACUAAAAAAGCUGAAGCAAAUGCUGGUCAUAGGUAUCCUUGUUAAUGUUGCAGUGAUAUUGUUCGCCGGCUGGUACGGAGGUAUCAUAACAUUUCCAUUGUUUCCAAACUUAGCGUGGAGUAUGCCGCUUGUGCUUUUCAUGGCCAUGGAAGAAUAAAACUCGUGGAAGUAUAAUGACACUAUUUAGACGUAAGGAUGAUUAUAGCGUUUUCUUUUCUUUUUGGUUUUUGUUUAAAAUUUAUUUUUAUUUUUAUUUUUGAGUAGUUGUUUCCUCCAAAUAAAAAAUAGAAAAUUUAACAGCCAAAGAUUUGUCACCUUAAAGCAUUAACAAGCAAGCAAACAAACAAAAACAAUUUUGAUUAUGGUAGGAUGAUAAUUAGAUCUAUAUUGUUUUAUAGGAAAACUAGCAACUGUAGUAAACUUGGUGCAAGAGUCAAACAAAUGAACAAUUGUCAUUGCUUGUCGUUCUAAAAGCUAUGAUAAUCAUAAUGGACGUACAAGGAACAUUCUGAUUCAAGUUCACAAAACUACUAUAAUCAUCAGUGCAAUAGUCACACAAGGAGAAUCCUGAACAUUACUCACCCUCAUAAGCAUUUCUUAUCCCAUGCAUCACUAAUUCACUACAUAUUUACUUGUAAUAUAUCAAAGUGUAAAUGCGACAACCUUUAUCAAACUGUACAAUGGAAUUUUAGAGAAGGGGAGAAUACGAGACCUAAGAAGUUAGUUAAGUCUUUAGCACACUAUUGAACUACGGCGACUCUUUAAAUCAACUGAUACAGAGAUAAUGUAAUUAAUACCUCUUGAACUGGAUUUUUUCUUUGCUGCCAACAUAUCCAUCAAACUACGGUCAAACAAAAUGGUAACUAGAUUGGCCG